rfam:Subdoligranulum sp. 60_17 Ley3_66761_scaffold_2379, whole genome shotgun sequence.
CACCUGUUCCCAUUCCGAACACAGAAGUUAAGCUCACUUGUGCCGAAGAUAGUUGGCUGGAAACGGCCUGUGAAAAUAGGUAGAUGCCGGCU